AACGUAGGAGACAAACGUUAUCCGGAGUUACUGGGCGUAAAGGGCGUGUAGGUGGUUUUGUAAGUCUGGCGUGAAAUCCCUCGGCUUAACCGGGGAACUGCGCCCGAUACUGGAUGGCUUGAGUUUGGGAGAGGGAUGCGGAAUUCCAGGUGUAGCGGUGAAAUGCGUAGAUAUCUGGAGGAACACCGGUGGCGAAGGCGGCAUCCUGGACCAACACUGACGCUGAUGAGCGAAAGCCAGGGGAGCAAACGGG
rnacentral:rRNA from 1 species